UACAGAGGGGGCAAGCGUUGUUCGGAAUUACUGGGCGUAAAGGGCGCGUAGGCGGCCCACUAAGUCGAACGUGAAAUCCCCGGGCUCAACCCGGGAACUGCGUCCGAUACUGGUGGGCUUGAAUCCGGGAGAGGGAUGCGGAAUUCCAGGUGUAGCGGUGAAAUGCGUAGAUAUCUGGAGGAACACCGGUGGCGAAGGCGGCAUCCUGGACCGGCAUUGACGCUGAGGCGCGAAAGCCAGGGGGAGCAAACGGG
rnacentral:rRNA from 1 species